rnacentral:rRNA from 1 species
UACGAAGGGGGCUAGCGUUGCUCGGAAUCACUGGGCGUAAAGCGCACGUAGGCGGAUUGCUAAGUCAGGGGUGAAAUCCUGGAGCUCAACUCCAGAACUGCCUUUGAUACUGGCGAUCUUGAGUCCGGGAGAGGUGAGUGGAACUGCGAGUGUAGAGGUGAAAUUCGUAGAUAUUCGCAAGAACACCAGGGGCGAAGGCGGCUCACUGGCCCGGUACUGACGCUGAGGUGCGAAAGCGUGGGGAGCAAACAGG